AAAGUCGCCUUCGGGUGGCGAGUAGAGUGGCGCACGGGUGAGUAACACGUGGAUAAUCUGCCCGAUGAUCCGGGAUAACCUUCCGAAAGGGGGGCUAAUACCGGGUAAGCCCACGGGGACUUCGGUCCUUGUGGGAAAAGAUGGCCUCUUCUUGAAAGCUAUUGUCAUCGGAUGAGUCCGCGUCCCAUUAGCUAGUUGGUAGGGUAAUGGCCUACCAAGGCGACGAUGGGUAGCUGGUCUGAGAGGAUGAUCAGUCACACUGGAACUGAGACACGGUCCAGACUCCUACGGGAGGCAGCAGUGGGGAAUUUUGCGCAAUGGGCGAAAGCCUGACGCAGCAACGCCGCGUGAGGGAUGAAGGCCUUCGGGUCGUAAACCUCUGUCAGAGGGGAAGAAACCCCUGUCGGUUAAUACCCGGCAGGACUGACGGUACCCUCAAAGGAAGCACCGGCUAACUCCGUGCCAGCAGCCGCGGUAAUACGGAGGGUGCGAGCGUUGUUCGGAAUUAUUGGGCGUAAAGCGCGCGUAGGCGGCCAUUUAAGUCUGAUGUGAAAGCCCGGGGCUCAACUCCGGAAGUGCAUUGGAAACUGGGUGGCUUGAGUACGGGAGAGGGAAGCGGAAUUCCGAGUGUAGGGGUGAAAUCCGUAGAUAUUCGGAGGAACACCGGUGGCGAA
rnacentral:rRNA from 1 species